GGCAGAGGGAGCCCGGCCUCCGUCGCCCGGACCGCACCGCGCAAGGGCGAUGAGGAAAGUCCCCCCACCAGCCGGGCAGGUGACCGGACGCAAGUCCGGGGCGGGAGACCGUCGGCUAUGGAACAGAAACGAGACCGCUCCGCGGGACCGAUGAGGUGCGCGAACCCGGACCGACGCGGCUUCGGCCGAUAAGAGACGGGGAGCUAACCCACCGAGGACUGAUCGCGGAGAACGGAUGGAACGGCGAAUCCUCACCGGUGCAAGUCCGCGCCGACAGGUAGCCCGGUUCCCGCGCCGUCGGGCGCGUGGGCGCGGACGCUCAGCCGAAUGCCGGGCCGAACAGAAGGGGGCUUACUCCCCUCAGCC
rnacentral:RNase_P_RNA from 1 species